rnacentral:rRNA from 1 species
CCUACGGGGGGCAGCAGUGAGGAAUAUUGGUCAAUGGACGCAAGUCUGAACCAGCCAUGCCGCGUGCAGGAAGACGGCCCUAUGAGUUGUAAACUGCUUUUGUACGAGGGUAAACUCAGAUACGUGUAUCUGUCUGCAAGUAUCGUACGAAUAAGGAUCGGCUAACUCCGUGCCAGCAGCCGCGGUAAUACGGAGGAUUCAAGCGUUAUCCGGAUUUAUUGGGUUUAAAGGGUGCGUAGGCGGUCGGAUAAGUUAGAGGUGAAAUCCCGAGGCUCAACUUCAGAAUUGCCUCUGAUACUGGUCGGCUAGAGAGUAGUAGAGGUAGGCGGAAUGUAUGGUGUAGCGGUGAAAUGCUUAGAGAUCAUACAGAACACCGAUUGCGAAGGCAGCUUACCAAGCUACAUCUGACGUUGAGGCACGAAAGCGUGGGGAGCAAACAGGAUUAGAUACCCGGGUAGUC